CAAUAGUUCUACAUCAAUCACAAUACACAAACUGGAAUGAAAUUGCAUUCUUAUAUAAUCCAAAAAGAUUGACAAUCUAUUUGAUAUAAUCCAACGUAAAUAGAUGAGUUUAGAGAAUACCUAAGAACGGAGAACAUUGAUCUGGACACUGGGGAGGAGGAGUGGAGAAAGGAGACAGAGCGAAGAGAAGAGAUGCUAAGAUCUAAAGAUAAAAUGAAAUCCAUGUUUUGUUCAGCUGAUAUUCUUUCUAAAAUGUUUGGCCCCUCGUAUCAGGAGGGAGAAGGGUACAAUGAAGGAGAUCAGCAUAUACUAGAGAAUCCGUUUCCUCAGGAAGGAGAGGGAAGACGACCUAUUUGAUAUUUUUAUAAAAACUAUCCAAAUAUACUAUACCAAGCCAA